ensembl:lncRNA
GGACGUAGCGCAUGGAGGGGGGGCUCUGUCACGAUAAGGUGCAGCUGGAGACUCACCUGGCACCAAUCUGCAAAACAGCAGGGCAGUUAUAAGGUGUGCCUGCUGCUUGCCGCAGAGGGUGGGAGAUUCUUGGCUGGAGCAGCAACGAACAACUAGCUCACAAAAUAAAACAAACUACCACCUGGCGUGCCAGAGGAGUCCACAGGGGUUGCCACCAUCACACGCCCACAACCGUCAGCAGCACAGCCCCUGUCCUCUGCUGGUCUCUGUGGAUGUGCCAUAUCAUCAGCAGCCAGUCCAGGUUGCUGGAGGGGCCAAUGCUGGCACUAUGCCGGAUGACGUCAGGGGGCCAGCCAGCGAAAGCAGUCCUGAAGCCCUAUGGUUGCUGCCAACAUCCUUACCUCCUCCGGUGAUGGAGUUUCGGCUUCUUGGAGCUGCAAACUUGAGGAAGUGAUCAUUCUUUGCCCAACUCUUGGAGGCUGUCAGAGACAGGUAAAUUAUUACAGCUAUAAAACAUCUUAAAUACACAGAAACUGCAGCACUAUACUUAGAAAAUGAAGGGAGCCGAAGGAUAAAGCUAAUACUUGCUUUGUUCUGCUGCCCAGGCCAGUAGUAAAUUUUUUUCUAUAAUUACUCAAAUGUUCUGUCAAUGUAAAGUUAAUAAUAAUAAUAUAGUUCUGUAGUUCAUUUUGGAUCUGGUUUUUUAAUCUCAGUAUUAUUUUGUCAGAACAACAUGUAUGAACACAACUGACCCAUUUUUUAUGUUUUUAACCAAGAGCUGGAUAAGGUGAAAGCUUCAGCAGCUCGCAGGAGGCAGGCUGUACAUCAGUAGAGCCAUAAUGAAAUGCAAAAAUCAGCUGGGCUAACAAUUGCAGGCCGCUGUAACAGCUUAGCCUGCUGCUCUGUGGCGAUUUGUCAUAAUCAGUGGCACUUUUCUCAUUAGUAAAAAGCCAUUACACCUCGACUUUAUCAGCGCCUCAGAGUGUUAUCAUCCAGCCUGGCUGCUUGCACUGGGUGGGUGCUGGGAUUGGAAUGUGUUUUCUGCAACAAAAAAAAGCUGCCCACACCUUAACCACAGAACUCUCAGUGAAAAUGUUGCAUGGUUUAUUAGAGAUGCAAGAUCUUCGUCACCUGACUUUCAUCAGGUGUUAAGAGAUCAAUGCAACAGGAAACAUGUUUUUUUUAAGUCCUGACUAUGUGGAAUAUGUGUUUGGCUGUGAACCAUCAAAAUUGGCUGUCAGGAAGAACUAAUUUUGAUGCCUAAUUUACAUGGGAUGUCAUUACUACACUGUACUACAUGUCAUUACUUAGGUUAUCACAAAACUACAGUACAUUAAAAACAAUAAUAUAAUAAGGAUUAGAACAAUACCCAACUAUAACUAAAACAACACAAAUUUGCAGUUAACAGUGCAAAAUAUUUUAUUAUUCCUUUUUGGAAAAAAAGACAACAAUAUUAGUAGAUGGUAAAGGUAGAAUUGUUUUGUGAGGACUAUUAACUAUGUUAUGUUAAUAUAUGAUGUUAAAUUAACAGUCAAAUAACAAUUGCUAGCUCCUACCUUAAGAUUGCAGAUUUCAUUAUUAGCUAAAGCCACUAACCACUAAUGUUAUCUUAAAAGACAGCUAAUGUGGCUAUUGGCUAAUAUCUAAUAGUUACAACUACAUAAAAGUGAAUUUCAUAUAAGCCUGAAACAGGCUUUUUAAAAGUGCAAAUAUACAAUACAGCAGAACAGUCAGUCCAACUGCUUUAUUGCUUAUAACUGCACAGGGGAAUUAGCAUGCGAGAAGUAGCGGGAUUGAUGGCCGCAUUCUCCACAUUUCAUUUUUGGGCAGUGGUGGUCUAGUCCCGAACCGCCAAGGUGCUACCGAGGUGCCACUGAGCAAGGAACCAUCCCCACAUACUGCUCCCCGGGCACCUUUCAUGGCUGCCAUUGUUCACCAAGGGUGAUUGGUUAAAAGCAGAAGACACAUUUCAUUGUGUGCACCGUGUGCUGUGCUGCAGUGUUUCACAAUGACAAUCACUUCACUUUCACUUUUUCAGCCAUGUUAAAGUGUAAUAAAUGUAACAGUUAAUAACCUUUCA